GGCUCAAUGGUGUAGGUGCACAUCCUCAGGAAAUGUACUUGAUGUCUUUUCCAUUCCGAGAAAGGAGUGGGUUCAAUUCCCGCUUGAGCCG